GGGUAUAGCUCAGUGGUAGAGCACACGCUUGGCAUGCUGGAGGUCCUGGGUUCAAUCCCGGGUACCUCCA
rnacentral:tRNA from 1 species